CAUCUGCCCCCUCCUAGCAGCUCUAGCAGGACAGCUCUGGGCUCGGGGAAAUCCACCUCGGACCUGACUGAGCUUGCUUAUAAAGCACAAUCUGUCUCAAGUAGCCACGAUGCAGAAGAGACCUGGGAGCAGAAGGGAUUUUACAGAAGAAGCAGAUGAUUAAAGCCCUUACUGUAUCUUCAGGAUGAUUUUUGUGGACAUGGGCUCCAUGGAACUCUGGUGAUCCC
rnacentral:lncRNA from 1 species